rnacentral:rRNA from 1 species
UACGUAGGGUGCGAGCGUUGUCCGGAAUUAUUGGGCGUAAAGAGCUUGUAGGCGGUUUGUCGCGUCUGCUGUGAAAAUCCGGGGCUCAACCCCGGACUUGCAGUGGGUACGGGCAGACUAGAGUGUGGUAGGGGAGACUGGAAUUCCUGGUGUAGCGGUGAAAUGCGCAGAUAUCAGGAAGAACACCCGUGGCUAAGGCGGCUCUCUAGUACGGUACUGACGCUGAGACGCGAAAGCGUGGGGAGCGAACAGG